rnacentral:misc_RNA from 1 species
GGCCUCUAUUGCAGAGGUAUGAGAAAGGGAGUUUUGGGUAUAGUGAAUCGUUUAAUAGCAUUUUUGAUACUUCCAAGUACGGGAUUUUUCAGCUCAACAACGGCUUGGGUCGAACUCCUCAGAUGGGAUGGAAUAGCUGGAAUUUCUUUGCUUGCAAUAUCAAUGAAACUGUCAUCAAGGAAACAGCUGAUGCACUUAUUUCAACUGGCUUGGCUGAUUUAGGUUAUGUUUUUCUCAACAUAGAUGAUUGUUGGUCUUCUGCAAC